CAGACUCCUACGGGAGGCAGCAGUGGGGAAUUUUAGACAAUGGGCGCAAGCCUGAUCCAGCAAUGCCGCGUGAGUGAAGAAGGCCUUCGGGCUGUAAAGCUCUUUUGUCAGGGAAGAAACGGUGGAGGUUAAUACCUUCUGCUAAUGACGGUACCUGAAGAAUAAGCACCGGCUAACUACGUGCCAGCAGCCGCGGUAAUACGUAGGGUGCAAGCGUUAAUCGGAAUUACUGGGCGUAAAGCGUGCGCAGGCGGUUUUGUAAGUCUGUCGUGAAAUCCCCGGGCUCAACCUGGGAAUUGCGAUGGAGACUGCAAGGCUAGAAUCUGGCAGAGGGGGGUAGAAUUCCACGUGUAGCAGUGAAAUGCGUAGAGAUGUGGAGGAACACCGAUGGCGAAGGCAGCCCCCUGGGUCAAGAUUGACGCUCAUGCACGAAAGCGUGGGGAGCAAACAGGAUUAGAUACCCUGGUAGUCCACGCCCUAAACGAUGUCUACUAGUUGUCGGGUCUUUAUUGACUUGGUAACGCAGCUAACGCGUGAAGUAGACCGCCUGGGGAGUACGGUCGCAAGAUUAAAACUCAAAGGAAUUGACGGAAGGGCGA
rnacentral:rRNA from 1 species